rnacentral:rRNA from 1 species
CCACCGGAAAAAGAAGAGUGGCGAACGGGUGAGUAACACGUGGGUAACCUGCCCAUCAGAAGGGGAUAACACUUGGAAACAGGUGCUAAUACCGUAUAACAAUCGAAACCGCAUGGUUUUGAUUUGAAAGGCGCUUUCGGGUGUCGCUGAUGGAUGGACCCGCGGUGCAUUAGCUAGUUGGUGAGGUAACGGCUCACCAAGGCCACGAUGCAUAGCCGACCUGAGAGGGUGAUCGGCCACAUUGGGACUGAGACACGGCCCAAACUCCUACGGGAGGCAGCAGUAGGGAAUCUUCGGCAAUGGACGAAAGUCUGACCGAGCAACGCCGCGUGAGUGAAGAAGGUUUUCGGAUCGUAAAACUCUGUUGUUAGAGAAGAACAAGGAUGAGAGUAACUGUUCAUCCCUUGACGGUAUCUAACCAGAAAGCCACGGCUAACUACGUGCCAGCAGCCGCGGUAAUACGUAGGUGGCAAGCGUUGUCCGGAUUUAUUGGGCGUAAAGCGAGCGCAGGCGGUUUCUUAAGUCUGAUGUGAAAGCCCCCGGCUCAACCGGGGAGGGUCAUUGGAAACUGGGAGACUUGAGUGCAGAAGAGGAGAGUGGAAUUCCAUGUGUAGCGGUGAAAUGCGUAGAUAUAUGGAGGAACACCAGUGGCGAAGGCGGCUCUCUGGUCUGUAACUGACGCUGAGGCUCGAAAGCGUGGGGAGCAAACAGGAUUAGAUACCCUGGUAGUCCACGCCGUAAACGAUGAGUGCUAAGUGUUGGAGGGUUUCCGCCCUUCAGUGCU